UCUUUGUCUGGUGAGGAGCAGGUCUCUGCUUUGUGGGACUGAGUGCGUGCUGUCAAGGGCUGUCUCUACAAUCCACUCGUCAGAGCCUCUGCCUAGGAAGGCUUGUAGAGGAUGGCCACUGACACAGACUCCCUGCAUCUGGAAUUUUAGUGGAAUAGAUUUCCUUAUACAAACAUCCUCUGGGGCUGAGGGACAGAGACGGGAUUUCCUCCCCAUCCGCGGCUGGGCACAGCUCCGUUCCCUCUGACACCCAGUGUCCCUCUAGCCCUCGGAGCUCCGUCUUGCAGCAGUUCCCAGAUCCUUGUCCUGAAUGUUCUGAGCAUGCCCACGCCCGGACUGGGCAGCUACAAGGUCGUGGAGCAUGCCCAGCCCCUCCUUCUAGGCCCUUCCACGCCUGCGGCCGGCCAUCUGGCCUUCCCUGGAUGGCAUGGCAGGUAUUCACAGUCUGGGCUUGCGGCCUUUCUGGCCCCAAGCUCUGAGGACUGCUGCCUUCACAAUAGCCACGUGCCCUGCUGUUCCCAGCGAAGGGCACCCCCUCUGCAGGACGCCCUUGCUGCCCCCCACCCCAUUCUCUGCCCUACCCUGACAGCUCCCCCAGCCUGUUCUCAGGGUCCACUCGGCUUCAUCUUGCCGGGGAGCCUUGGCUGGUGUCAGCGGGGUCGGCACACACUCUGGCUGUACGCACGUCAGCUGCAUGGCAGACCCGGCUGCCUGGCUCUUCCUGCCCCUGCCUCUCACCACAGGUGCGUGUCCUCAUGCCACGGUGAUCUCCUCAGCGUGCUGGCUCCCUGGGAAUGAGGAACAUUUGGCAAGUGAGAUGAAGAGCGUCCAUCCUGAAGGCUCAAAGCUGAAGAAUCCCCUCACAGGCUCAGGACGUCCUGACAAGCCUCCAUGCCUGAGAACUCGCCCACCAACCUCCUGGGGACUCCGGCAGCCUGGCACUCUGCCGGCAUCUUCCGCUGUCCCUUUAGCCACUCUGUGAGGACUUUUUGACCACCAUGGACUUUUCCAGGACGCACACACUGAGGAGGUGAAACAACCUGCCUAGGAGGAGGCAAAUGCUAAGGGGAGGGGCGUCGGCCCGAGCUUUCUGUUGUGACCCAGUCAGCAGCGCCGCCCUGACCCCGGCGCGGGAGCUGCCUUCUCGCCAGGCGUAUUCCAUUACCAGCCUUUCUUUCCAGACUGGGCUGUGUCCCUGCAGUGAUGGUGAUGCUGAGGCUCAGAGAUGAGAAAUGUUAAAGAAAAAGGACUUUUCCUGUAGCCAGUGAGGAGAGGAGACAAAUGGAGGAUCGAGGAGCUCGGGUGCACGUCCUUCAAUGCUUUCAGCCUUACCUUUGGCCUCUGCCCCACAGUGUGGGGACCGUCCUGCCUACCAAGGAUUCCUGCGUCUGCAGCGCCU